rnacentral:rRNA from 1 species
UGGGGAAUUUUGGACAAUGGGCGAAAGCCUGAUCCAGCAAUGCCGCGUGUGUGAAGAAGGCCUUCGGGUUGUAAAGCACUUUUGUCCGGAAAGAAAUCCUUGGCUCUAAUACAGUCGGGGGAUGACGGUACCGGAAGAAUAAGCACCGGCUAACUACGUGCCAGCAGCCGCGGUAAUACGUAGGGUGCAAGCGUUAAUCGGAAUUACUGGGCGUAAAGCGUGCGCAGGCGGUUUGCUAAGACCGAUGUGAAAUCCCCGGGCUCAACCUGGGAACUGCAUUGGUGACUGGCAGGCUAGAGUAUGGCAGAGGGGGGUAGAAUUCCACGUGUAGCAGUGAAAUGCGUAGAGAUGUGGAGGAAUACCGAUGGCGAAGGCAGCCCCCCUGGGCCAAAUACUGACGCUCGUGCACGAAAGCGUGGGGAGCAAACAGGAUUNGAUACCCUGGUAGUCCACGCCCUAAACGAUGUCAACUAGUUGUGGGGAUUCAUUUCCUAGUAACGUAGCUAACGCGUGAAGUUGACCGCC